rnacentral:rRNA from 1 species
GAUGAACGCUGGCGGCGUGCCUAAUACAUGCAAGUCGAGCGAACAGAUAAGGAGCUUGCUCCUUUGACGUUAGCGGCGGACGGGUGAGUAACACGUGGGUAACCUACCUAUAAGACUGGGAUAACUUCGGGAAACCGGAGCUAAUACCGGAUAACAUUUGGAACCGCAUGGUUCUAAAGUGAAAGAUGGUUUUGCUAUCACUUAUAGAUGGACCCGCGCCGUAUUAGCUAGUUGGUAAGGUAACGGCUUACCAAGGCAACGAUACGUAGCCGACCUGAGAGGGUGAUCGGCCACACUAGAACUGAGACACGGUCCAGACUCCAACGGGAGGCAGCAGUAGGGAAUCUUCCGCAAUGGGCGAAAGCCUGACGGCGCAACGCCGCGUGAGUGAUGAAGGGUUUCGGCUCGUAAAACUCUGUUAUUAGGGAAGAACAAAUGUGUAAGUAACUGUGCACGUCUUGACGGUACCUAAUCAGAAAGCCACGGCUAACUACGUG